rnacentral:snRNA from 1 species
UUCUCUGGCAAAUACAGC